rnacentral:lncRNA from 1 species
AUCAGUCUCAUUCUUCUCGUUUGCCUCUCUCGUCUUCGCUCUUAGUUCUCUCUUAUCUUCGCUCUUAGUUCUUUCAAUCUUUUAACCUAACAAUAAAAAGAUCACAUUUAGCGAAACAAAAUGAACGAUGAACUUCUUGAUCGAAGUCGAGAGAUUUGGCAGGUACGAAAGGAAAGGGUUUUAGGGUUUCGAUCAGAAUUUGGAAUUUCUGGCGUAACUUUCUUUUAUGGGCUGCAAUUGAUUUCGGUCUCAAUUUCUCGCGCUCCGUGUCAUCUGCGUUUUGAUCCUCCAUGACAGUUUCUUGUGUUUGAUUACGGUUGGUGGAAAUGGGACCGGAAAAGUUAUGGAUUUGGGGAUUUUCGAGGGUUUCAGAGGAAUGAGAAUCGACGGGGUGAAUUACACCAAUUCUUUUGUUUGCCGUUCCUAACGUCACAUUUCGGUUCUUGAUUGUUUAGUCACGCUUCGGUCCUUGAUUGUUCAGUCACGCUUAGGUUCUUGAUUGUUCAAUCUUGCAAGAUUUUUUUAUUCGUAUUCUGCAUCAGAUGUUUGAGCCUUCAUAAUCCAAAAUACUUGCAACAAGAAUUCUUCAAACCCAUAUUGAAAAAUCGGUAUGAUAUACUUAACCCUAAAUGAAAUCAUAUAUAUGAAUUUUGUAUUAUUUGUAAUAUAGAAUGCAUAUGGUGAAAGAGAAUUGGAAAAAUAUAAAUAUAAAUGAGAUCAAAUGAAAAGAUUAGUGGGUAUUAUUCUAAAUUGGUUGUUAUUAACCCUAAAUGAAACCUCUACGUAAUUUACACUUAUAGUGUGAAUUUGUUGAGAAUUGAUGUCCCUUUCAAAAAUCGAGAUGGUAUAAUCAAAGGUUUUUUACCCUAAAUGCUAUAUGAAUUAUGUGUUCAUAGCAUGAAAUGUGGAUGAUGUCCUUGAGACUUGACGUCCAUUUCGAAAAUCACUAUGUCAAUUUUGUAUUGACAAUGUAAACUAUGAAUAGUAUUCUUUAGACAUAACGGCCCUUUCAAAAAUUAAGAUAGUAAAAUUUGUUUUUAUUGACCAUAAAUGAAAUCUCUACAAAUUUGCACUUAUAGUGUGAAAUGUGGACAAUGUUUUUGAGAAUUGACGUCUUUUUCAAAAAUCGAGAUGGUAUAAUCGAAUGUUAUUUACCCUAGGGCUGUGCAAAAAAUCUGGUUAUGAGGCCCAAAUCCAAAACCGGAUCCAAAUCCAUUUUAAAUAUCUGGUUAAAAUCAUAUGGUUAUAAUCCGAUUUAUUUAAAACUGGUUGGAUAACCACUUAUGUUUUAUAUUUGGAUUUGGUUUUUAACCGGUUUUUAUCCACUACCAAUAUUUUGUUAAUUUUGAGAUUUUAUGUCUUGAAAAAAAUUUGAAAUUUUUUUUUCGAAAAAAUAUCGGAAAAAAAUAAAUGAAAAAAACUUUUUUUUUCUCAAAAAAAUUUAAAAUCGAAUUUUUUCUCGAAAAAUUUGGUGAGAAUUUUUUUCAAAAAAUUUAUCGAAAAAAUCGAUUUUUUAAAAUAACUGAUUUUUAUACUAUGAAUAAAUAUUUUUUUAAAAAAUAAUCAAAUUUUAACCGAUUUUGAAAAAAAAAUCGAUUUUAAAAUUAAAAUUUUCAAAACCGGUUGCUUAAUUAUAAAUCGGUUUUUUAACCAUAACCAAUUUUACAAUUGGUUUUAUAACCGGUUUUAAACCAAAUAAUGGAUUUGGUUAUAAAUCUAAAUCCAUAUAUUGGUUUUAAAAUGGAUAUGGUUUGGUUUUUUUAAAAAACCAACAAUGAACAGCCCUAAUUUACCCUAAAUGUUAUAUGAACUAUUUGUUCAUAGUAUGAAAUGUGGAUGAUGUCCUUGAGACUUGACGUCCAUUUUAAAAUUCACUAUGUCUAUUUUGUAUUAACAUUGUAAACUGUGAAUAGUGUUCUUUAGAAUUAACGACUCUUUCAAAAUUAAGAUGGUAUAAUUGAUUGUUAUUGAUCCUAAAUGAAAUCUCUACAAAUUUACACUUAUAGUGUAAAAUGUAGACAGUGUUUUUGAGAAUUGAUGUCGCUUUCAAAAAUCGAGAUGAUAUAAUCAAAGGUUAUUUACCCUAAAUGUUAUAUGAAAUAUGUGUUCAUAGCAUGAAACGUGGACAAUGUUCUUGAGACUUGAUGCCCCUAAGAGGAUUCACAAAAAAAGAAAAAAUACUCAUUUGUAUGAAGAGAAAAAGUAUUGAAUCAAACUUGAUGCCCCUAAUGCAAAACAAAUCCUAAAGAGAAAAAUAUAAAAAGAUAUAAAACUUAACAACCCCUUUCAAAAAAUUAGAUGACGAUACUGAAAGUUAAAUGUAAUUCAUAAAUGAAUUUUGUAAUUCAUGAACGUGGCUGGUGAUCUUGAGACUUGAUGAACCUGUUGAUAUGACACUAAAUCUUUUAUCUUUUUGUGAAAUAAGGUGGUGUGUAUUGUGUAUUGUGUCUUGAACCCCUUUUAGCUUUUAUUUUUUCUGAGGUUCAUAUUUUGCUACUUAAGUUAACUAUAAUCUGACACAUUUUUGUUGUGAGAGAGUUAAGUACCCAAUUAUGUGGGUUACCUAUUGUUGUGUAAAAUAUAUGGGUUAUUUUUAGUAUGAUUUAUCAUCUCUGAUAUUCCAAUUAUAAAUUGAGAACCUUAAACUUGAACAUUAUUCCAAGUUAAUUGUCUUUUGUUACUUUUGCUCUGAAUUCUUGGAUACCAUUGGCUUUCAAUCUGGUUUGUGCCAUUUGAUGUAAAGUUCUUUUGUAAUUUCCUAUCUGAUGAUGCAGAUUUAAGUUUGGAGCUGAAUAUUGCCACUGCAUGUGGGAACGAUGUCGUUCUCGUUAUAGUCUCUCAGAAUUAUGUCAAAUCUUGGAAGCAAUUUAUCUAACUCAGAGGAUCAAAAAAAGAACUCACUUUACUGUGAUCUCCAUUUUCUUCAAGAGCUAAAUUUAGAUGUUGAUCUGAAUUUUCAUGAAGAUCUCAACAAAUCACAAAAAACACGGAAGAGUCGUAACUGCUUAUGCAUUGAUGUUAUCAUAUGAUGACAAACAUGAAGUAACAAUGUCGAUUUACAAGGAAUGAGGUUUGAAUUGUAAAUGCACCUUCUAAAAAUUCUUGUUAAAAACUGAAGAAAAUAACUCAAGAUUGAUCUUGGUUGUGAAAACAGAAAACGGAGAACGUUCUUGGUUUUAACUAGAAAACGGAGAACGUCUUUGGUUAGUUAAAAUCAGAAUUAAGUUUAUGUAUUUAAUUUAAUAAUCAAUCAAACUGAAAGUAAAUAGAUAAGGGAAGAUAUACCAUACAAUGAAAUAUCAUAGUUCACCCAACCCGGGUUAUGUUCAGUCCUCACAACCGUGAGAUUUUCCACUAAGUGUUUAAAACAAAGAACCUUCUUGGUUUUACAGCACCUAGUUCAGAUCAACCUUGAUC